GCAGAAAACACGAAACGCCACACACCAUCUUCUACGUCGAAGCAGUAAGUCUUUCAGAAGAAAGUAACAAUAACGUUAAAAAUGUUUCUUCUAAUUGUAUUGGCAUGCAUUUCUCUCUCCCAGGCUAGUCAACUCCUGUACAAUGCUUAUCCUUACGCUCGUCCUUACCAAGCUGGAUACUACGUCAGGGAGCCUCAUCGUCACGAGCACGUCGAAGUAGCUCGAGACCACGGAGGUGCAGU